UAUGGAGCAAGGAAACGGUUGACAGAAGACUGUCAACCGUUGAAAAAAGUUGAAGGUUGUAUGAGUCAGGAAAACAUGAAGAUAUGAGAGAGUUCCAAAGAGUGCAUAUUUUGUAUGUACAUAAUGUGUGUAUGUUAUUCGAACCAAAAUGAAAUAAAUAUCUACAUAUUAUCAUUUUUGUAUUCAAAAUUCAAACUUGUUAGCUUUCUUUCUAUGGUUGAAAAAUGUCUAAAAGUUUAUUCAUUAAAAUACUCUAAAAUAUGUAUGUUAUAAAAAAUAUGUAUGCCAUAAAUGCCAUAAGUAGAGGUUACUAGAAUAAAAGAAUAGAGUAAUAGAGCAAGGAAACGGUUGACAGAAGACUGUCAACCGUUAAAAAAAGUUGAAGGUUGUAUGAGUCAGGGAAUUCCCAUAAUUCGGGAAUUCCCUGACUCAUUUCUGGGAAUUCCCAUAAUUCGGGAAAUUCACUUAAAAUUCUUUUAAGUUUCUGGAAAUUUCUGUAUGUUUUUUGCUACUAAUUUAAUAUUUAAAAUUUUAAUUAUGACAACAUUUGCAUUUGAAUAAAUUUGUUUUUUAUAACUGAAACUUUCACAAGAUCGAUUUUUGCUAUAAUAUUUUUAAUAAAUUUAUAAUGUUGUCAAUUAUUAUGAUCAAAAAGAAAAUAUUAUAAAAUGGAAGUAAAGAGUUUAUUUGAUAUUUUGGAGACAAAAAUAAAAACAAGUUUGACUGGAGUUGGCUUCAAGAGAAAGAUAAUGGAGUGUAUUAUUUAGCCUACAUAGGAAAAAUAGAUAAUGUUAAAGCAACCUACAUAAGAAAUAUAAAGUUAAAGCAACCUACAUAAGAAAGAUAAAGUUAAAGCGACCUACAUAAGAAAAUUAGUUAAAGCGACCUACAUAAGAAAGAUAAAGUUAAAGUGACUUACAUAAGAAAGAUAAAGAUAGAUAAAGUUUGUUCCCUGAACAUUUAAAUAGGUAGUUUCUUCAUAAAAAAUUUGAUUUGAUGUGUUAGGUACGACUUUACUACAAUAUGUAUUAAAGACUCUUAUUACGAAAGUGAAGAAAAAAAAGAUACAUGUAUAUUGCUAUACAGCACUCGAGAUAAUGUGCAUAUCGGCAGUACUUGCACAAAUAAUAUGAAGCCUACCAUUAAACCUAUUGUUUUAGUUUUAGAGAUCAGACAUCAAAUGCAGAAGCUAUGGCACAUCCAUUUAUUUCUAAACACAAGCUCCGCUAUAGCUUCAGUUAAAUCACUUAUUAGCAAACAAGACUACAGCACUAGGGUACUUUAAAAGACGAGAUACAUUGCAUGACUAGUUAACAAAAACAUCUGUGGUCAUUUUCAAAUUGCAAGCAAACGCUUUAUUAAAAACUAUGGAAUUCCAUCAGAAAAACAGAAUAGUUGAAGAACGUUUUUGAAAUAUAAAUUCAACACUGAUAAAAAAUUGUCUCACAUGAACGGUGCAAAAUAGUUAAAGAAUCUAUUAUUGAUGAUGCAAAAAAGUGCAGAAAAAGAAAAGUUGAUGAAUGUUUUGCAGAAAAUUACAAGAAUAAAAAGUAUUGAUUUCUGAACUAUUGUCUGACAUUUUAUAUUAAAAAUAAUUUUUUAAAAAUUU
rnacentral:lncRNA from 1 species